rnacentral:rRNA from 1 species
AACGAACGUUAGCGGCGCGCCUAACACAUGCAAGUCGAACGCGACUGGGGGCAACUCCAGUUGAGUGGCGCACGGGUGAGUAACACGUAGGUAAUCUCCCCCCGAGUGGUGGAUAACCCUCCGAAAGGAGAGCUAAUACAGCAUGAGACCACGGUUCCGAAAGGGACUGAGGUCAAAGCGGAGGAUCGCAAGACUUCGCGCUUGGGGAUGAGCCUGCGGCCCAUCAUGGUAGUUGGCGGGGUAAUGGCCCACCAAGCCUUAGACAGAUAGCUGGUCUGAGAGGAUGAUCAGCCACACUGGAACUGAGACACGGUCCAGACUCCUACGGGAGGCAGCAGUGGGGAAUCUUGCGCAAUGGACGAAAGUCUGACGCAGCGACGCCGCGUGGGUGAUGAAGGCCUUCGGGUUGUAAAGCCCUGUGGGGAGGGACGAAUAAGUUAUGGCUAAUACCCAUAGCGAUGACGGUACCUCCUUAGCAAGCACCGGCUAACUCUGUGCCAGCAGCCGCGGUAAGACAGAGGGUGCAAACGU